GUUGUGCUGCCAGAGUUGAGCAUUUAAGUAACGUCAACAGCCCGUUUACUCUCUACCUCAUGGAUAUUUUGGACCUGUCCCUGGAGACGGAGCUCCGAGCGUUCUUUUUUCCUGGUCAGAAAAUUCAUUAUUCAAGGUGUAUAAACCCUCCAUCUGCUGCCUGUCUGGCUUAAACACUGCACUGUCCAUCUGAGCCAGUGGAAAUGUUUGACUCUAUCACCUCACUGUAGCAGUGCCACAAACACAAACAUCACACACGUUCAUAAAUUCAACAUCACCUGUUGUUGAUCUGAUAUUUCUCCCUCCAAAGGCAUCUAAAACACGGCUUUAUCUUGAUACAUAUCCAAAAACAACAGUAUUCACAUGGCAAAUGUCCAGUAAACAUGGCAUCAUCUUGAUUCAUAUUCAAAAAGUAUAGUAUUACCAUAGUGGACUUGGGGUAUUACUAUAGUACCAAGUCCAAAAAACACUACCUUGGUAUAUGUCCAAAACAUGGUAAUGAAUUGUAUUUUUUUGUGACAUGGACAGGUGAUAUAAUGUUGUUUUUUUGGACUUGGUAUCAUGGUAAAACCAUGCUUUUUUAUAAUGCCGUUUUUUAAAUAUGUACCAAGGUAAUACCACAUUUUUCGUGAUAUAUCAUGUAAUACAAUAGUUUUUAGAUGUGAAUCAAAACAAGACAUUUCUUAAAUAAAAAAUAAAAAAAGAAAGGUAUCAGUCAAUGUACUGCCAUGUUUUUUGACACCAAAGUGAUAUUAUGUUUUUUGGUACCUUAGUAAAACCAUGUUUUUUGUUUAUCUGUUCUUUUUUUCCCCUUUUUUACUUUGUAAAUUUGUUGUAAUAGUAUGUUUUUGGAUAUGUACCGACAUGUACUAUGGUAAUACCAUGUUGUUGUUUUUUUUAUAUGAAUCAAGAUAAUGCCAUGUUUUUGAUAAUGCCAUGUUAAUACUGUAGUUUUGUGAAUGUAUCUGUCAUGUAUUCCCUGUUUGUGGACACAUUAGUUAUUUCCUGUCUUAUGCUUUGUAGUUUUUCAUGUCGAUUAGGUUUCCCAGGUGUUUCCAUUUACCUUAUCCCCUUGUUAUCUUGUUACGCUUCCCUCUGUUUAUAUAGUGUUUGUGUUUCAUUUGUGUGCAGUUGGUCAUUGUAGGUGUUAUGUGUGGUUUCCUUCCUUCCGUGUCAUUGUUCUUAGUGUUUUCAAUGUCAUUUAUUAAACUUUUCCUGUGUUUAGAUCCGCUGUUUUGCCUGCUCAUUGACACCAGUGUGACAGUAUCAAGAUAAUGCCAUGUUUUUUUAUAUGUCCCAAGCUAAUACCACAAUUUUUGGACAUUUACCAUGGUAAUAUUCUUUAAAGUACCUUUGAUUACAUAUGUAAAAACAUAGUAUACCAAUAUUGUAAUCUUUCUGUACCAUGGUAUAUCAAUGUAAUGUACUGUAUUAAUGUACUAUCAAUUAAUGUACUGUAAUGUAAUGGUAAACAAAAGCCAUCUCCAAUUAAAAAUAGUAUGUAGUUAGUGAAAAUGUUUGUUGAUUUGGCUGUUUUUAGUGCGUCAAUAACAGCAUAUAAACUCUUGACUCACCUGGGCACGUACGUCCACUCAGAAAAGAACAGUUUCUCAGUGAGAGGUUUCUGCUUACAGCAGGAGAUAUCGACGAGGCCAGCCUGAGCUCCAGAGGAGAACAGGACGGCUCAUGGUGCACCACCGUUCUGACUGAUGAACAGAAGGAGCUCCUCACUGUGUGGUGACAUUGACAAGCAAGGGUCCAAAUGCAAAAGUACAGCUGUUCCUAAUGGACAACAUGUUUUCAAAGACUCCCAGACAUUGUAUGUGUGAACAGGGGUCAAUGACCGGUCAUAGCAACCCAAAAGGCCAUUUCUAUCCCUCUAAAGCUUGUGCCAACCAGUUACAGAUACCAGUCAGCAAUUUGGACGGUGUACAUUUGAAAUGCCUGUCUAUUUCCAUCCGACGCAAGGAUUCUGAAAGCAGAUUCGCAGUUCCCAAGAGUAUAGUGUGUGGAGGUUUCCACCUCACUGGCUUUUGAGCACACUGUUCUAACUGUAGCCACUCAGUGGUUGCCACAUCCACAGGCUGACAGCUCAGCUCUUGUCACAGGAUUGGAUGCGUGUCAUUUCGGCCUAAUACCCAUGUCAAAUGAUUUAGCUGAGGCACAGAGGUCAACAGCACCGAUAAGUCGAGACGAAUCAUGAUGGAUCACUGCCAAAGUGAAGCAUCUGGAGAUUUUUUGGGUGAAGGGAUAAGGCACAGGUGUUAAUUAGCAAGAGAUUGUCUAAUAUCAAGGAUCACAGGAUGACCAAUAACCAUGGAAACGGCUUGCUGGACAGACGGCUGCUUGGUGGUGGAAGAGCGUGAUGAAGCUCAGACAGACUCAUCCCCCAUAAACAGCAUUCUUUCAGUCUGACUUACUACCUGGCACACUGGAUCCACAGCACCUACUCAACAACACCAGGAACAUUCCUUCUGCACUAUUUAAACAUAAAGCUGACAGAAAUACUCACGAAUUUGGCGUGAGAUGAAUAUUUUACAACUUUUGGUUAAUCUGUACGUUAAGAAGGUUUUUGUCUGUGUGUCUGUGGUUUCAGAGCAUUUUGACAUGAAACAUUCGUCUUUGUAUGACAUUAAAUUACAAAAAUAAAACAGUAUGUAUAGUAUUUGUCUUGCUAUGGGCUAAGUUAUGGAAGCCCGUUUCCGCCACUAAAAAAAAAAAAAAAAAAAAACAGUAAUUGUGACUUUUUAUCUCAAAAUUCUGACUUUUUUUCUCACAAUUGCGAGCUAUAAAGUCAGUAUUGCGAGAUAUAAACUUGCAAUUGCAUGAUAUAAAGUCACAAUUCUGACUUUAUAACUCGCAAUUGUGAGAAAAAAGUCAGAAUUCUGAUAUAAACUCGCAAUUGCAUGAUAUAAAGUCACAAUUCUGACUUUUUUUUCGCAAUUCUGACUUUUUUCACACAAUUGCGAGUUAUAAAGUCAGAAUUCGGAGAUAUAAACUCGCAAUUGCGUGAUAUAAAGUCACAAUUCUGACUUUUUUUUCGCAAUUAUGACUUUUCACACAAUUGUGAGAUAUAAACUCACAAUUGUGUGAAACUUUUUUUCUCGCAAUUCUGACUUCCAUAUUAAGUUCGUAGUUAGCAUUUUAUGUAUCAUAAAUAAACACAAUUAAAAAGCUCACACUUUUUGAAUAAUUUGGCAAAAUAUAGUAAUAAUAAAUAAUAUUUACUUUUUUUCUUGAUUUAUUCACGUCGCAAAAAAGUCAUAAUGCAUAUAAAUAAUCCAGGAGAGUUUUAAAUAAAAAAAAAUAAAAAAUUUAAUCUGUUAAAAAAAAAAAAGGGCCGGGGGGAAAAAACACCCAUAUCAACACACAGAAGUAAAUCCAUUGGUUGAAUUUUUAUUUUAUUUUGCUGUCUUUAAGAUGUAUAUUUAAUACUAGGUCUGCUGUAAUACAUCAUCCAUAAACAACUAAGUGAUGUGCAGGUUAACUGAGCUGUAGCAGUUAAAAGGAAGAGACAGAAACCAGCCUCUGUGCUGGCUUUAGAUGAGAUGAGGGAUUGUUUCCUUCUUCAGACAAUUUCUUAUUUAUUGUUGGAUGCGGUAUGUGUUUCAGGGAAUGCCCAUGGAAAACUUCUGGAGAACUUCAGAUUAAAAGUGACACUAAUAUGGCACUUGGACCUCAACAUGCGGCACAAGGGCUAGGAAAAGGUAAGCAUUAUUUAGACAAUGUCUAAGUAGUCUAUUUAGACUUUAAGGUGAUGUGUGUCACUUUUAUGUUAAAAUAAUAGGUUGAUUAUCUUGAAAAGUGUUCUGCAAUAUUUAAUCCGACAUUGCAAUGCUGGCUCAACCAAUGACACGAGUUUCAGGGGCGGGAUUAUCCGAUUUUCUGACCAACAGCAGAUGAUGUUUGAAAAACCAGUUUGAAAACAGUCAUUAAUUUAAAAAUUCUUUACUUAAAUUCUUUAAUUAUCAUCAUUUUAAAAAGCGAUGCAGAAAUUGCACAGCAAAUCAAAGCCAGAAGCUAUUAUAAGCUCCUCUGAAGCGAUUAAUAAAUGAUUGAAUUUAAAUACAUCCUUCACUCUAAAGUGCUUAUUUAAGUAUUAAAGACAAACUGGUCUAUCUACCAUAUCUGUACAUCCAUUAGACAAUAGCGCUUGCAGUGAACCCUAAAAUGAAUAUCAGGUGUCCUUUUAAAGAGAGUCAAUACCCCAAGGUUAAAAGAUCAAUGUCUGAUUUAAUUCAUCAAUGGGCUUGUUUUAAUUUCUCUGAAGUGGCCCGGAGCACACUUCUUUGAAGCGAAGCAGGAUGGGGCUCAACAAAUCAGGUUUCAGACAGGUUUGACUCAAGGUCGAUCAGUGUUCUUAUUAACGCCUUAAGGAGGACGACUUCAGUCAUCUCUGCUAAUUUCCACGAGAGAACUCUGUGAGGAUGGGAAUGUGCCCUCUGCUUCUGUCUCUCUACCCUUCAGGAAAUUGCUUUAAUGUUUCAUUUCCCCCGACACAGGAUAAGCAGGAAAAACAGCGAACUGUCCCCUCAUCGCUCAAACGAGCAGCGCAGAGUCAACUGGGCACCAUCCCAAACCACACGGCUGCCAACCAUCUUACUGCGGAGCACGUGCUGAACUCUGGGUGAUGUCAAAAGUCCAUUGACGAUAGUUGUGAUGGAAAACAUUUCUAGGGAGAUGUACUGUCUCUCUAAACAUUAAAGAACAAUACGCAAGUACAAUAAAACAGGAUUUUCCUAACUCUUUUGAAAUGGAAGUGAUUACAUGGCCCACUUUGAUAAAUGAGGCUGUUUAUCACAUGAAAGAGGUUAGCCAAUGAUAACAGAGCUAAUGUGCAUACAGUGUUAAAAGUGCCCGUUUAACUUUAUGGUUUAGAAAAAGGGUGAAAAAAAUUAUCAUGUUUUAUUUAUUUUUUUACUUUUUUUUUUUUUUUGGCUGAAACCCAUUUCCACUUCAGUCUACUAUAUACGUGAAGCAAAUAAUUGCUUAGAUGUCAAACAGGUUCUAAUGAAAUCCAGUUUAAAUCCAAUUUAUAUGCUGGAUCAUCCCGUUUUUGUGUCUAUAGCCUCAGACAGGCUGAUUUGCACCAUUUCAAGGCUGCUUCAGUCAUUGCAUGCAUCUCCUUUCAACAUUUAGCCAAUCAGAGCAGGCCGAUGUGUCAGCAUGUCUGCUCUGAUCCUUGGUAUCACCUCAAGUCGCACUGACAACUCACUGCGCUUCAGAGGGCUGAUUAUCCAGCCAUACGAGGCAUUUGCCCUCGCUGCUGGAGACGACGCUUGUCCACAAACGCUCAAAACCACACGGUCAUGACAGAGUAAGGCAAUAUAAAACACACAACACAUGUGUUGACGUUUUUAUAGAAAAUCCCUCUAAUAAAAGUGGAUUUCGUUUCAACUUUUUCAAGUUAAAGUAGAUUUGAGCUCUGUCAUCUUGAAGUAUUCGUUUUCUCUGAAAUAGAGUAUUCCUCCCGGUGCAGUUUAAUGUCAGUUUGGUGUAUUACCGAGACUAGACGCUUCAGACACCUUUAAUUUAUUAAAUUGUACAAUCUUACACUCAAAAUGCUUUGGCUGAACUUUCGCUCUUGCCAACUGACUUAUGUUAAUCUGGGACAUUUUAAUACUUAAUAGGACAUUUAUUUGUCAUAAUUACUUAAAAAGAGUAUAAGAUAUUUAACAUUUGCAUUUAAAUCCAUAUUUGGUUUUUGUGUUAAAUGCUCUUCUUUCCCUCAGACGGCUGUUUAAGUUAGAAUGCAGGGGAGGUUUCAUCUGAUUAUGUUGGAGAUGUUUCCUUUUUGUCAAAAUGACAGUUUCUCCAUAUGGCCUCCAACAUACUUAUGGAGACAACAACAUACGUGACUUAAGCUUAAGGUUUCCAACGUUCCUAUCGUUCCCUGCAUUCCCAAGGCUCCCUACCCUUAUAAAAUAGCACAGAACUAUUAAGAGCAUUUAUUUAAUAAACAAUGCCAUGAAGACUUAACGAUGCUACAAAUCUUAUGGUAAAACAGAUCAUGGGUAUGAGUUAAAAAUAUCUCACAACUUUCGUUUGACUAAAAGUUACAAAAAUAAGAUGGGGAUUAAAUGUUUCAUUUUUCAUUCUUAUUAGGGUAGGGAGAGUUUAUGGGAUGUUCCCUGAUGCCACUGCAAUGGCAAUGAAGAGAGAGCAUAAUAACAUUAUAUUAAUCAGAGGAUCCUGAAAAUAUGUAUCAUGGUUU